rnacentral:rRNA from 1 species
GAUGAACGCUGGCGGCGUGCCUAAUACAUGCAAGUCGAGCGAACAGACGAGGAGCUUGCUCCUCUGACGUUAGCGGCGGACGGGUGAGUAACACGUGGAUAACCUACCUAUAAGACUGGGAUAACUUCGGGAAACCGGAGCUAAUACCGGAUAAUAUAUUGAACCGCAUGGUUCAAUAGUGAAAGACGGUUUUGCUGUCACUUAUAGAUGGAUCCGCGCCGCAUUAGCUAGUUGGUAAGGUAACGGCUUACCAAGGCAACGAUGCGUAGCCGACCUGAGAGGGUGAUCGGCCACACUGGCACUGAGACACGGUCCAGACUCCUACGGGAGGCAGCGGUAGGGAAUCUUCCGCAAUGGGCGAAAGCCUGACGGAGCAACGCCGCGUGAGUGAUGAAGGUCUUCGGAUCGUAAAACUCUGUUAUUAGGGAAGAACAAAUGUGUAAGUAACUAUGCACGUCUUGACGGUACCUAAUCAGAAAGCCACGGCUAACUCCGUG